UACGUAGGGUGCGAGCGUUGUCCGGAAUUAUUGGGCGUAAAGGGCUCGUAGGCGGUCUGUUGCGUCGGGAGUGAAAACUCAGGGCUUAACCCUGAGCCUGCUUCCGAUACGGGCAGACUAGAGUUCGGCAGGGGAGACUGGAAUUCCCGGUGUAGUGGUGAAAUGCGUAGAUAUCGGGAGGAACACCAGAGGCGAAAGCGGCUUUCUGGGCUGUAACUGACGCUGAGGCGCGAAGGCUAGGGGAGCAAACAGG
rnacentral:rRNA from 1 species